UACGAAGGGGGCUAGCGUUGCUCGGAAUCACUGGGCGUAAAGCGCACGUAGGCGGCUUUCUAAGUCAGGGGUGAAAUCCUGGAGCUCAACUCCAGAACUGCCUUUGAUACUGGAGAGCUCGAGUCCGGGAGAGGUGAGUGGAACUGCGAGUGUAGAGGUGAAAUUCGUAGAUAUUCGCAAGAACACCAGUGGCGAAGGCGGCUCACUGGCCCGGUACUGACGCUGAGGUGCGAAAGCGUGGGGAGCAAACAGG
rnacentral:rRNA from 1 species